rnacentral:lncRNA from 1 species
AGCAAUCAAAUGAAAUGUCCCCUGGGUUUCCUAAUCGAAGCUGUCUGCUCUGCCUUUGUGUUAGAAACGUGGGUUUCAAUACGUGUUCCUGUGUGACCAUAAGUUUCCCCAUCCUAAAAAGUCAAGACAUUUAUGAAUAUGGAAACCUGUAACUCAACAUCUUCAGUUUCCGGAGGAAGAAAAAUCUCCCCCAUAAAACCUGUGAGGGUUGCAAACGAACGGGGAAGGAGGUGAAAAAUGUUACUGUUGCUUUCCUAGAAAUCAACAUAAAUGGACAGUUUGAAUAAUUUUAAAUGUGGCAGAGCACUGCAUACCUCAGGAAAACCCCAUGAAGGAAGGGAAGGCUCCCGGGUGCAGGUGCCUGUGUGCGGUUCACACGGCGGCCGGAGGAUUCUUAGCGAUAGUCGAAGAUCACAGGACGAUGCAGCAGCGGUGACUGCCAGCCCUCUCGAGCCAGGUACUGCGGUUUUAUUCAACCACUGUUGGGCCGGAAAGGUCUCUUUCCAUCACGCCCUCAUGCGGACUGACCUCUGCUCUCCUUCCUGGGUCUUUACAACGCCUGCGCCUUCAGCGACUGCUCUUCUUUCUUGGAUGCUCUCACCGGUUCCCGUUGGAGCCGUAAUUCCAAAGCCAUGGUUGUUGUUCUGCAAGCUGAAGAGUACUCUCUUGCUCAGCUUCCUGCAGCACUGUUCAGGCAUUUAG